GUGAAUCAUCGAAUCUUUGAACGCAUAUUGCGCUCGAGCCCUCGGGCAAGAGCAUGUCUGCCUCAGCGUCGGUUUACACCCUCACCCCUCCCAACUUGUUGGGUGUGCUUGCUGCUUUUGCAAGCCACUGGGGUGGAUCUGGCUUCCCCAAUCCACCAUUAUAGGUAGAUUGGGUUGGCUGAAGUGCAGAGGUGUAAGCAAGGACCCAAUAUGGGCUUCAACUGGAUAGGUAGCCCCGGCUUUUGCCGACUACACGAAGUUGUUGCUUGUGGAUCUUGCUAGAAGCCAAGCAAGAACGUG
rnacentral:misc_RNA from 1 species